GCCGACGUAGCUCAGUUGGUAGAGCAGGGCUUUCGUAAAGCCAAGGUCGUCGGUUCGAUUCCGACCGUCGGCUCCA
rnacentral:tRNA from 1 species